UUGUUCCAGAAACCCGCAGACACGUCACGUCAGAGUUUUUAAUUCAUCGCCCAGUCUGGAUUAAUAAUACCAUUGGUACGCACUGGUAUUAGACAAACUCGAGUUGGGUUGAAAUACUGUGAAAUCUUGGCUUUCUCGUCUUUGAGAUUUUAACACUGGAGCGUAGAGGAGGUCAGUCUCUGCUGACUGCUGAACAUCCAACAUGUGACACCCAGGAGUUGUCUACCACCAUGUUUUGGACUAAGGGAAAAAAGCAAGUAAAGAGAGAGGUAAUUCAGAAAAAUGCAACAUCAUGGAAGUUCCAGGAUGUCUGAAACCAGAGCGCUGUAGCCACAAACAACAGAACACAAACACACUAUCCUCCAGGAUGGCCUGCUUGGCCAGUCUCCCCCACCAUACUACUGCAGCCUCAUCAGCCAGGGUCUCACUCUGUGCAGGCUGGAGUGCAGUGCCACAAUCUCGGGUCACUGCAGCCUUGACCUCCACCACACAGGCUCAAGCAAUCUUCCAACUUCAGCCUCCCGAGUAGCUGGGACUACAAGCGUGCACCACCACGCCUGGCUAAGCUUUGUAUUUUUUUGUAGA